UGCCUGACGUAGACGCUAUUCCGUAAGAUUAACCCAUGCAUGUUUCUGACAUUUGAUAAAUGGAUUGCUCAGUAAUACUCACUUUAUUUUAUGUAAAUUUUUAAUUAACUACGUUAAAGUGUAGAUAAGAUGUUUACAGUAAGAGUGAGACCUAUCAGCUAGUUGUUAAGGUAAUGGCUUAACAAGGCUGUGACGGGUAACGGUAUUACUUUGUAAUAUUCCGGAGAAGGAGCCUGAGAGACGGCUACUAAGUCUAAGGAUUGCAGCAGGGGCGAAACUUGACCUAUGGAUUUUAUCUGAGGCAGUUAUGGGAAGUAAUAUUAUAUUGUUUCAUAUUUAAAAGUAUAUG
rnacentral:rRNA from 1 species